UAAAAAUAAAGGUCCUAGUUUCCACAGACCAAUUUCACCUCAGGUGGGGAGGACACCUUCUCAAGGUGUGAACUACAAUGUUUCAGGACAUUCUGAUGUUGAAUUCCAAAAUAAGAGCCCCCCAAAACUCAUAUAUUACCUUUUUUGUCCAUACAUUCAGAAAAUCAUAAAAAUAAAAGUCCUAGUUUCCACAGACCAAUUUCACCUCAGGUGGGGAGGACACCUUCUCAAGGUGUGAACUACAAUGUUUCAGGACAUUCUGAUGUUGAAUUACAAAAUAAGAGCCCCC